GCGGCUGAGGCGCGGUGGCAGUUCCUGGUGAGAGGCAGGUUCCGUCCUGCGUAGCGGGAUUUGAACGUUUAAAUGUACCCCACCGCCCCGCUCCCCUCAGCGCGGUUUCACCCCUCUGGGGGUCGGGGUGCCUCGGCGGUGGCUGUCUCGCUGGCCUCUCCCCGCCGAGGUGCGGCGUCAGGGGGAGCGUUGGCCUCCUGCACCGCAGCACCGGCCCAGGCCCUCAGCCCCGGCCGGGCCUGUGGUGGCCUCCCGGGGAAGAGUCAAGCCCUCAGAAAAAAGGGAUACCCUGGCCGGGACCGGUUCAGGUGUGCUCCACAACACAGAAGUUGCUCCUGUAGCCAGCUUCCAAACAGGUUGCUUGUAGCAUGAGGUUUUCUGUUUGCUGGGAUCGUUUCUCUUGUGCCUUACUAGAUGUCUUGCUAAUUUAACUACCUUAGUUAAGCGUGUGGAAAAAACUGUGUUCCUUUCUAUCAUUGCUGCAGCACAACCAGUCUUCAAGAGAGAUGUUACGCUGGCAAAACCCAUCCUUUCAAUCCAUGCUGUGUGCUUCCUCUGGGGAACAAGAACAGAGCUUCCCCAGGUGGGGUGGUUUGUUAGUGGAAACUCGGUCUUUCCAGUGCAGAUUUAUUACUUGGUGAUUACAUCUGUGUAGGAAGAUGAGCAAGGCCACCUCAGUAUAGAAUGAGCUAUGAAAAUGGAUUUUUUUUUUUUCCAUGUUUUAACAUAGGUGUUGACUAGACCAAAACUCUUCAUCAUGUACGAAUUGAUGUUUAGACUCAGGAAGACUGGCUCUGGGAUUCCUAAUUUGACUAUCCAAGGCCAUGGUGAGAAAAAGGUUGGAAGAGAGCAGAAAAAGGAAAUAAUUCUCAAAGAGCAGGCUUUCAGAAGGAACCCAGUGCCCACAGAAGGACACUCAGACUUUUUGCCUUGUUUUGUGGAUUGAAUCUCUUGACAAUGCUGUGGAGAGAUGAAGAACAGCCAAGGUACUGCCAGGCAAAUCUGCUGCACAGCUGAGAUAUGGCUUAAUUGUACGUGGUAUUUUACCCUCUGAAGAGAAUUCAAUAUUUGUGUACUGCUAUGGAAGUGUAAGAGAAGCAGGAAGAAGCCCAAGACUGACAUACCACUUCAUGCUUAUGCAAAAUUAACUAUCUGUCUGCUGUCUCAUCUCCCCACUCCCAGGAACUACUGUAAAACUGUGAUGUUUGGGUCGUGUUGGUGCUCUGAACAACUGUGGUUAACUGGGACACAAUUUUGGCUGUCUCAUGUAGUGGCCAAGAAUACAGUUUCAGAGUUCAGAGGUGUUUACCUUUGCAGGAGACUACAGCUACCUGCCUGGAGGGGUCAGCCAGACUGGAAGGGAGUGCCAGGAAGUUAUUUUCCACAACAGGCAUCUCAGCUGCAAAUGGUGCAGCUGGAGCAAGAACUAGAGCCUCUGCUACUAUCCUUUACUUUCUGGUGUUAUGAGGGAUUUGGGGUUGUGCUCUGGUGGUUUAUUCAGCUUUCGCUGUAGGCGUCUAGAGGGAUCAGACUUCAUUAGUAAGUUCUGCUGGGCUUCAUGCUCUGUAUAAACCAAGGCAUCUACCGAUGACCUAUGGGCAUUUUGACCAGAGCCUCUGUGGUGGAGUGUUUAAUGUCUCUGCCACUUUUUCUAAAUAUCAGGAUAUGUAAAAGCUUCUCUGUGGUUAAGUUUUUUGGAGAUAUAUAUGAUAGUAGUUUAUGGAUUUAAAAAACCCCAAAAUAAGUAUUCAGAGCCAGUGACUAAAAAUUCCAUCUUGAAGAGUUUCAGAAGUGAGUCAAUAGUCCUUUUAGUCUAGAUAGUCUAGGACUAAGAGGACUAAAAAUGACUAAAAGGAUUCCUGAGUAUGUGACCUAAAGCAAUACAGAAUAUUUUGUGAGUCUCAAAUGAAGUCAAUAUAAGCCUAGAAACUGGAUGAGAGCAUGAAUUAGGUAAUGAAUUGCUUCUCUUUGAUGAUCCUUUUGUUUCCUGUAACGCCUAAAAUAUAUUCCUUUGCUGUGCAAGUUACUGCUUAUUGCAUGACUAUUAAAGAUGAACUUUUUUUCCCAUUUGGAAAAAUUCCUUUCUAGGCCCCGUCUUUGUGAAGGACUACAAAAUGACGUGCGCAUUUCCACUUACCGGUUUCCCAAAUGUGUCUGGGCCAUUGCUGAAAGGAGAGGAGAGACAUUUUCUAUUAAAAUAGAUCUGCAGCAAGCUAAAUCUGCUGCUGUGUUUCCCCUCUGUGAUGGAUGCGCUUGACUCCUUGAUGAAACUUGUGGUAGUUUGGUUCAGCCUCCAGAGGAAGCAAAGGCCUCGGCCAUAACUGGGCCCAGAACUUCUCUAGUUCCAACCUGUUCUCUGAAACCCCCCACAGGAACAGGGUGACAUGGUGAGCAUCAAUGCAUAUGGGCAUGGCAACUCAAACACUGACCAUGCAAUUAACACAUGAAUAGCAGGUGGUUCUUCCAAGACUCAUUUAUCGAGGAACAAAGCAAGCUGUGGGUACAAGGAGUCUCAUGCUUACCUUUUCCAGCACAUGUAAUUUGACUACGCGCCAACCGCUUUAUUCCAUAAAAAUGACAGCCUGAGUGAGCUGCCUUUGAGGUCUCCCUG